CAGUCGCCGCGGGAAUACGGAGGGUGCAAGCGUUAACCGGAAUUACUGGGCGUAAAGCGCACGCAGGCGGUCUGUCAAGUCAGAUGUGAAAUCCCCGGGCUUAACCUGGGAACUGCAUUUGAAACUGGCAGGCUAGAGUCUUGUAGAGGGGGGUAGAAUUCCAGGUGUAGCGGUGAAAUGCGUAGAGAUCUGGAGGAAUACCGGUGGCGAAGGCGGCCCCCUGGACAAAGACUGACGCUCAGGUGCGAAAGCGUGGGGAGCAAACAGGAUUAGAUACCCCUGUAGUCCCUGUCUCUUAUAC
rnacentral:rRNA from 1 species